rnacentral:lncRNA from 1 species
GGAACUCUAAUUUUUUUCACACAACUAUACCCCCAAUUAUUUGAUUUGAAUACUACACACCAUUUAGUGAUUUUAAAUAUUUUUACCAAAUUUUUCAGAGAUGUUUGGAUGGGUUAAAAAUUCAUUUAAAAUUCAAUUUUAGCUGUUUUGUUUUGGCGAUUUUGUGCAAACUAUAAUAGCUUUUGAGUUGAUUCUUGUGGAAAUCUAUUCUUGGUGAUUUUAUCUUUCCAACGAGUAUUUUUGGAGAAUUUUUGGACACCAGUAGCUAGGUCUUUUAAGGAGACAAAGUUGGCACGAUGUUUUUCUUGGCCGGGCCCACUCGUGAGGCCACCUUCUCCUUCCUCACGUCACCAAGAAGCAUGCCGUUGGCCUGCAGGGGCUGAGCUCCACCUGGCCGGCACCCAUGGGAGCUUCCCUCCCCGCCAAUCCGCGCGCCCCAUGGUGAGUCACUCCGACCGUCCUUAUCCUCGCCAUCCUCCUCCUAUUUAAGGACCGGUUCCCCUCUCCUCCAAUCCUCCCUGUAAAGACUGCAAAGCUCCAUUGUUUCCCCAAGUUUCGCUGCCCAAAUUCAUCGCCGUGGUGAGCUCUCGGCUCGAUUCCUCGCGGCGAUAGCAUCCCCAAGCCGUCGCGCCUCCGUUUUGCCCCUUCCCGAGCUCCCUCCCUCGCCGGGCAACCCUCUCCGCAGGAGCCCCCAUCCGCCCCUUCCUGCGCCACGGAAACUCCCUGCACCACCCCUUCUUCCUCGUCGCCACGCCACUGGUGAGCACCUCCUUGGCCCUAUGCGCCGCCCCUCUCCCUCCCCUAGCAACACCCCUUCCUUUCCUCCUGUUCUCGGGCGGCCCAAGCCAUGCGUGCUGAAUCUUUGCCUGUCUGCGUGUGUGCCUGUUUAAGUGCAUGGGGGACUGAUUUGGAGAAGAAGGAGAAAGGUUAGGGGGUUAUGGGUGAAAUCCAGGGACUUUUGCACCAUUAACCCAUAGAUCCAAGGGCUAGAUUGCAAGAUUGCCUCGGUUUUCUUUAUUUCCUAGAUCUAAAAAAGCUGCAACUUUGGAAAUUCAUAGUAAAUUGUAGAAAAAUUUUAAAAUGGCAAAUGAAGAUGUUUUGGAAUUCUUGUGAGAAGAACUAUGUAGUAGUUAUAUAAUAUGAUAUGUGUUAGUAGAAAGUUUCUGAUGUUUUUAUUUAUCCAUGCAAAGUACUUUUAGAAAUCCUUUUAAGUUGGUUAGAUGCAUAUCUUGAGUUAUAUAAGUCCAAAGAUUUUGAUUCUAGUUAUAUUAGUCUCGUGAUGACACUCUCUAGCUAAGAAAAAUAUUAAACAUGCUAGUGGUGUGCGGUUUUUAUCAUGUUUUGAUUUAAUGGGCAAUUUUUGCUUAUUUUGCUUGUCAUUUUCAUAUCUAAAUUUGUGGUGCUCCAAUUUCUGUGAAAUUUUUAUGGGAGGCUACUGAUGCUAUAUGUGUGAUAUGGUAAAAAGUUCAUAUUCAUUAGAUGUAGUAUGAUUGACUUAUUGAUUUAACUUGUUUAUUGCUUGAUAAAUGGUUUUAAAUAAGUUAUAAUUUUUAUGUAGGUGUAAAAUUGAAAAAUAUGGUUCCACUACCUUUGUAUGAUGUUGUUCUACCAUAAUAACAUAUAAUAUGGCUAUGUGUUUAUAAAAAAUGAUGAUCUUCAGAAUUAUCUUGCUUUUGCAUGUUUUCUUGCAAUUGUAAUUUAUCUUUUUCAUAGCAAUUAAAUUAUAAAAUCUGAGCAUGUGAAAUUGGUACGGUAGCCAUGUUUUGAUAACAUCUACCACUCAUAAAAAUCUCAGCCCCAAACUAGUUGUUCUCAUAUGGCACUACAAUAUAUAUAUAUAUAUAUAUAUAUAUAGAAGUUAAUGAAAGUUAAUAACAAAUAGGCAUAUGCUAAAGCCAUGAGAUGCUACUUUAAUUACACCAACUUUGUGAAAUGUAGUUGAUCUAUAUGGAUGUUUGUUUGAGCCCUUGAAUGAUAUGUAUGAAAUCUCUGUUGGGAGAAACACGUCAAAACCAACACUAUGCUACCUUCUGAAAUUUAGCUGCAUGUGUACUUUUGUGGUGUCAUGUUUUCAUGAUGAAAAUGAUGUUUUAUAUAAAUUUGGUGAAUACAAAAGUUUUAGGUAACUUUAUAAUAUAGCUUGUGUUAAAUUUUCAUGACCAUAAGCCUGAUGGUUAGAAGCUAUAGAUUUUACAAGUUCAUUGUCAGGUUUUGCGUGCUCUCUGUACAGGUUUAAAUGAUUGUGUCGUUUGACUUAGCUAAUCUUUGAAUCAUAUCUUUGUGAUAUUAGAAGAAGUGUAGGGAGUUUUAUGAGAUUUUCAAAUUUUUAAAGAUCACCCCUUUUGGUGGUCUAAAUCUCCAGUUAUGGUCUUGUGAAGUGGAAUGACAGAAUCUGUCCUAAUCUGGAUAGAGAUAUCUUAUUUGUGAUGUUUGACCUGGUUAACUUUGUAUUUAGCUUGUGGUGUUUAUAACAAAGUUAUGAAUAAUUUUAUAAUCUUUCUAAAAAGUAUAGAACCACCUUGUUGUGAAAGCUAUAACUCCAGAUAUGGCUGUCUAAAGUUUAAUGUCAAAAUCUGUCCAAGUUUGGACAUAUUUGCUUCUUUGUGUUGUAUAGUCUUGUUAACUGUUGAAUCAUCUUGAGAUGACAAUAAUAAAGUUAUAUAUAACUUAAUAAGGUUUUUACCAAGUUAAUAAUCAUGGUUGUUGGAGGUCUAGAACUCCAGAUAUGCAUCUCUGAAGUUCAUGUUAGUUUUCUAUCCUUGUUUGUACCGAUCUGCUUAUUGGUGUGCUUUCACCUCGUUAUUUGUUGAAUCAGCUUUUGGUGUGAAUAACAAAGUUUUAGAUAAUUUUAUUAACUUUACAGAAAGUCUAGGGUCAUCCUUGUUGGAUGCUUAUAUCUCAGGUUGUGGUUAAAACAAGUGACUACUGUGCUGCUGUCCAGAUUCGGUGUAUGUGCUUAAGUUAUUAGCUUUGACUUGAUGUUGCCUCGUGUGCUGGCUAGUUAGCUCAUAACACUAUUAGAAUUAUAUUGAUCUACCUAAGGAUCUUAUAAAUGUGUUAUAUAAUGUUGGUCAAGCACUUAACUAAUAAAUGGUCAUGUAUACAUGUUGCUACAAAAUAACUUUGUUGCAUAGCUUACUAGAACCUUAGUGAUGUUGGUGUGUGACUUACUUGUGCAUGAGUGGUUUAAAAAUAAAUGUAAUAUACUUUGAUCACCUUCAACUUGCUAGUUGUGUGAUGCACUUAUGUAGGCCAUAUUGAUAAGCACCAUCACCCCUAGUUCUUAUAUGAUGCUAUGCUUAAUUAGCUCUUGAUUGUUAAAUGCUUGCAAUAGCUUAACUUGAGUUAACUAGUGUGCCAUGCUUGUUAUGCUUGCUAUCUCUAUGGUAGACUUGAGUGAUAGUUAGUUAAAUAACUUGCUCUCUCAGUGCUCAUGUCUUGUGGUGUAACCUUUUUUAUGUAAUGCAUCUCAUAUUACCGUUCUUCAUAUUCAUGCACUUGCAUCUUGCAUCUCAUCUAGAUACGCUAGAUAAACCUCGUUAAGGACGUGAUGAUGGAACCGAACCCGAAGACGGCGUAUGGUGGACCUAUCCCGAAGAUGGAAGGACUAAGCAAGUGCCGAGAUGGGAGAUGCUCGCCAAGCGAGUGUCGUCUAACAAACACUAACCUAAUGUUGGAUUCUAGGCAAGCCCCGGAGCAUAUCCCGAUUUUCUAAACUUCUGCAAUGAAUUAUGUUGAUUAUGAUUGUGCAUUUAAGUUACUAGGCGUUAUCUGAAACCUUGGAUGCAUGAACUUAGUACCCUUUUAAUCUGAACACUAGCAUGAUAAGUCGCGUAGAUGCAAUGCUUAAUAGGAGACGGUAAAAGUUGAGUGAUUUCCUGUCACUCGUGAGUUAUAGGAGUUGUUUGUUUACUUAUGUUACAACCAUAAGGAUGAAGGGCGGGGUAGGACCUUGUGAAUUGUUUUGGUGGUCGGUGGAUUGCCCCGUUUAUCUAAAUGAAAAUGGACUAAGGUCAAAACGUGUUGGUGUUCGUGAUCAAGUGUUUGAAAGUACUAAUCUCAUACCUAGUAUGGGAUGGGGAAGUCUAGUACCUGAUUGAACCAGGACGUGAGCAAUUCGUUCCACUAUCUUUGGAACGGAGUUCCCCUGCGGUCGCAUGUGGUGACAAGUGCAGUCACGGUACGGCAGAGGUCGGGACCGUGGGGCCUUGUACCAAGGGAAGUGGACCUGACACGUAGCUGGGGAUUGAUGGGGACGGCUGACAAAUGAACCGACCCAUCGUGGUGCGCGGAUGUCGCGGAUGUUGUGAGGUUAGGUUCGCCAUGCAUGGUUUAAAAACUCGAUUCGAAUCAUGUGCCUCUCACAGUUUGGGACUGCUUGAUCGCUAUGCUACACUGAGUAAGAAGUGGAACAAAGGAUGAUGAAUAAUAUUGAUGCUUGAUUCAACUUCUUGUUCACAUGCUUGCUUAGAAUUGGUGCUUACCUAGAAUGGUUAAUCAACUAGAACCUGAUGCUAAAACUUGAAAGUAAAGACCUACUUUAGAUGCUUUUGGCAAAACGAAUCCCUUAGCCAAAAAGCCUUGCAUGUCUAGGAGUUGGUGGAGUAGUUACCACCUGACGGGUAAGCCUUGUUGAGUAUUAGUAUACUCAGCCUUUCUUGUGGCUAUCUUUUUCAGGUUUGGUUGCUGGUGUUGACUUGUUUGAGACCCAUCCUCGGUCGGCGAGGAUCAUGGUGUUUGAUAUCAUGGCAGGCUUCACCGUGGUAUUGUUGUAUCGACGUUUAGCUUCCGCUUGAAUUUUAUCUUCCGCUGUUGAACACUUUGCA